GCUGACGCAAGGCACGGUGCAGGCUGAGUCAGUGAAGGUGAACCUGUCUUCGCGUGCGGAGCAGCGAGGCGUUCCUGCGGCCGCGGCAUAGACACCGAUCACAGGCGGACCCAGGUACCGAGACGGGUAGGGAGAGGAUUUCUACGAAACGGGCUGCAGUGUAACGUCCCAACCUUUUGGAGGACAGGGAAGGGAAAUGGCUGCUGUGGAGCCAGUGCAGGGGCUGAUGACCUUUGAGGAGGUGGCUGUGUAUUUCACGAAGGAAGAGUGGGCUCUACUGGACCCUGCUCAGAGAGCCCUCUACAGAGACAUCAUGCAGGAGAAUUAUGAGAAUGUGUCCUUGCUGGGUUUUCUAGUCUCCAAACCUGAUGUCAUUUCCCAGCUGGAACGAGGGGAAGAGCCGUGGGCUCCAGAUCUCCAGGGCUCAGAGGAAAGAGAGAUCCUGAGAGGCAGCUGCACAGCAGGUAAUGGGAUGGUGAGUGAGACCAUGGAGCAGACUCCUCAGCAGGAAGAUGAUGAGCACAUGGAAUCACAUGGGGUGUUAUUGCAAAGAUGCAAGGGGAGUGUGUCCAGGAGCUGUGAUCAGGGAAAAGCCUGUGAGAGUCAGUACAUGCCAGAGAAGUGGCAGGGAAACCAGCCAAGGCAGAAAGUUGGUAAAUCAGUUAAUUAUUGGGGAACUCACAAAGGCCUCAGGGAAACCAUGGCCCAGGAGAAAAUCCUGAUGAGAGAGAGAAAUAACACAUGCGUUGAGUGUGGGAAAAAGCUCAGUAGGCGCUCGAGCCUUAUUAGACAUCUGAGACUCCAUGCAGGAGAGAGCGCCUAUGAAUGCUGUGAGUGUGGGAAAACCUUCAGUCAAAGUUUAAACUUUAUUAAACAUCAGAGGAGCCACAGAGGGGAGAAACCCUACAAAUGCUGCGAGUGUGGGAAAACCUUCACUCGGAGCUCUGUCUUUAUUAAUCAUCAGAGAAUCCACACAGGGGAGAAACCUUAUAAAUGCUGUCAGUGUGGGAAAACCUUUGCUCAAAGCUCAAACCUUAUUACACAUCAGAGGUGCCACUCAGGGGAGAAACCCUAUAUAUGCUGUGAGUGCGGGAAAACCUUUGCUUGGAACUCAAACCUUACUAGACAUCAGAGGAUCCACACACAAGAGAAACCCUGCUGUGAAUGUGGGAAAAUCUUCACUAAUAGCUCAACCCUUAUUAAACAUCAGAGAAUCCACACAGGGGAGAAACCCUAUGAAUGCUGUGAGUGCCAGAAAACCUUCACUAAGCCCUCAACCCUUAUUGAACAUCAGAGGAUCCACACAGGGGAGAAACCCUAUGAAUGCUGUGAGUGUGGGAAAACCUUUGCUUGGCGCUCCACCCUUGUUACGCAUCAGAGGAUCCACAGAGGGGAGAAACCCUAUGAAUGCUGUGAAUGCGGGAAAACUUUCACUCUGUCCGCAGACCUUAUAAGACAUCAGAGAAUCCACACAGGGGAGAAACCCUAUGAAUGCUGUGAGUGUGGGAAAACCUUCCCUCAGUGUUCAACCCUUACUGAACAUCAGAGGAUCCACACAGGGGAGAAACCCUAUGAAUGUUGUGAGUGUGGGAAAACCUUUGCUUGGAGCUCAAACCUUAUUACACACAGGAGAAUCCACACAGGGGAGAAACCCUAUGAAUGCUGUGAGUGCGGGAAAACCUUCGCUCGGAACUCACACCUUAGUAGACAUCGGAGAAGCCACACUCAAGAGUGACCAUAUGGAUGCUCUCACCAUUUCUUGGAGUGAAUUUCAGGGCUGGAUUUACACCUUACAUACUCCUAGGCUCAGCAUCUUCAGUGCCCACCCUGCCUACAGCUGACCUUCAUGUUGCACACAGUUUUAGAGAGGGUCAACAGUGUAAUCAACAGUCGCUGCCUGUGCUGUAUUUGGAUAAUUCAAAGGUCAAAAGAACAUCCUAUCAUUUAAAUGAAUUGUAAACAUGGGAUAUCUCGGUAUUCAUCUGUCUUUGAAAUGUACUGUGAAUGGUGGAGGAACAAGCAAAUGGCCUUAUGUUAAUUUGUAUAGCUAAGUACCGGUGAUGGACCUCCUACAAAGUCAUCCUAAUUACAUUUUGUUCCUUGAGGAACUCCAACUUGUCAAAAGACAUGAAAUUGUAGAAAAGAUCCUUGGGUCCUGAUUCUGUCAUCUCAGAUCUGCUUAGGCUUCAUCAGGGGAAAUUUGAGUCUCAAGACUGAGGUCCCAGUUAUGCUGGUACGCCCUGUAUAUGAGGGUUGGACAUCAAACUAUAAUCUAUGAACUAUUUCUGAAAGAACUCUUUGCAGCUACAAAGCUCACCAUCUCUGCUAUGAAUCUGAACCUCAGUGAAUUGAACUCUCUGUAUAUUUAUUGAUCUUUUAACCAUAUUCUCUCUUUCAUUUUUUAAUAAAUUUUAGUUUAGUUAAUAAGAAUUGGCUGUAGCAUGUACUUGGGUAGGAUCUAAAACAUUCAUUAACCGGGGUGGUAAUGUGUCCAAUUCUUUGGGAUUGGUAGAACCUUUACUUUUAUAUGAUAUAAGAUUUACAGAAAUUGUCAUCAUAUUUAAUGUGGGUACCUGAAUGGAGGCCUAAGGCUGGAUCACUUUAAGGAAACUGUGUUGUUUGGACUUCUGAAUAAUGAGUAAGGUAAUAAAGAAGCUCUUUUAUGCUGGCUUGGUAAAUCUAAGUAUUGAAAUACCCACCAGCUUUAUGGUGAUUGCCCCAUUCUUUGCCGUUCACCCUAAUUCAGUGACAAUAGUUGGAGUAGUCAGUGUUUGUAAGUAUCUUGGUCAUAUGCUAAUAGCUAUGGACAGAUCUUCCCUCUCCCUUGUCAGCCAGGUAGUUUGUAUCAAUCCAGACAGUAGCUUUCAGAUUCCCAUCGUGCAUACCUCAAAAUUUUAUUUCCCUUUUAGAGUUAACUCAUUCCCAUCAGCAGGAUUGGGUCCUUCCCCCUCCCUCCCCAUCGUUCUCUUAUAGGGUUGAAAUCUGAACCUCCCUGCUUACAGGAAUGCCUUUGCUGGCUAGGUGUGUUCACAAAUUGCAGCCCCACUGCGCUAUGAACAUCUACACAGACACUUGCUUACAUGCCUACUUUUGGAUUGACCACCAACAGAAUCUUAGUGACUGGACUCUGUUUUAUUACAGGGACAUAAUCAAUUCCUACCAACCAGUCAGAAUCAGAAUUCUGCUUACUUUCCACUUUCAACUCUUGGUUCCAUGUAGGAACAUAAGAACGGCCAUACCGGGUCAGACCAAAGAUCCAUCUAGCCCAGUAUCCUGUCUACUGACAGUGGCCAAUGCCAGGUGCCCUAGAGGGAGUGAACCUAACAGGUAAUGAUCAAGUGAUGUCUCUCCUGCUGUCCAUCUCCAUCUUCUGACAAACAGGCUAGGGACACCAUUCCUUACCCAUCCUGGCUAAUAGCCAUUUAUGGACUUGACCACCAUGAAUUUAUUCAGUUCUCUUUUAAACGCUGUUAUAGUCCUAGCCUUCACAACCUCCUCAGGUAAGGAGUUCCACAAGUUGACUGUGUGCUGCAUGAAGAAGAACUUCCUUUUAUUCAUUUUAAACCUGCUACCUAUUAAUUUCAUUUGGUGACUCCUAGUUCUUGUAUUAUGGGAAUAAGUAAAUAACUUUGCCUUAUUCACUUUCUCCACACCACUCAUGUUUUUAUAUACCUCUAUCAUAUCCCCCCUUAAUCUCCUCUUUUCCAAGCUGAAGAGUCCUAGCCUCUUUAAUCUUUCCUCAUAUGGGACCCUCUCCAAACCCCUAAUCAUUUUAGUUGCCCUUUUCUGAACCUUUUCUAGUGCCAGUAUAUCUUCUUUGAGAUGAGGAUACCACAUCCGUAUGCAAUAUUUGAGAUGUGGAUGUACCGUGGAUUUAUAUAAGGGCAAUAAUAUAUUCUCAGUCUUAUUCUCUAUCCCCUUUUUAAUGAUUCUUAACAUCUUGUUUGCUUUUUUGACUGCCUCUGCACACUGCGUGGACAUCUUCAGAGAACUGUCCAUGAUGAUGCCAACAGAUGUGC